AUGGGGGCGCAGCCGAUGUCCUCUGCUCUCCACCCCGAUCCCCCUGCCCGGGUGAAAACCUUUAUCCUCGGCGGAUUUGGCGGCGGCGGCGCCUUGCGCGUCGUGACCUUGCUGGAGGCGUCAUCAAGGGUGCGGGGCUCGGUCGGGAGGUUAUGCAGAGCAGCCGGCGAGAUAUAUCCCAAAUCGACGUGGUCAUCCUAUGUCCACCUUGCGAUGCGAGGGCGACCAUCUUCCAGCUCUAGGGUGAGCUUCUCGAAAUCCCGACGGUGCGGCGCCUACGAGCCAUGGCGAGGGGGAAGGGUCCCUCUUCGGUGA
rnacentral:rRNA from 1 species